rnacentral:sRNA from 1 species
UACGCUUGCAUACGUCAUGACGGGGCGUA